rnacentral:rRNA from 1 species
AUUCGAUCGUGGCUCAGAUGGAACGCUGGCGGGAUGCUUUACACAUGCAGAGUCGAACGGCACAGUUCCGGUCUGGUGGCGAGUGGCGAACGGGUGAGUAAUGUAUCGGAACGUGCCUAGUAGCGAGAUGUGUUUACGCAAAGCGUAACCUAACCACAUCGCCGCCCUUCGGGGGAAGCAGGGGGACCUUCGGGCCUCGCACUAUUAAACGGCGAUAUCGGAUCAUCGUUGAUCGGGUAACGGCUCACCAAAGAGCCGACGAAAUCACUCAGCUGGUUUGAGAAGGAUGACCAGCCACUGGGACUGAGACCACGUGCAGACUCCUGCAGGAGGCGGCAAGUGGGGAAUUUUGGACAAUGGAGGAAACCUGAUCCAGCCGCUCCGCUGAUAACUACCGAUAGGCCUUCGGGUUGUAAACACUUUGGCAGGAAAGAAACGGCGGAUAUGCCCAGCCUGACGGUACAGAAUAAGCACCGGCUAACUACGUGCCAGCAGCCGCGAUGAUAGCCAUGAAGUGCAGCGUUAAUCAGAUACUGGGCGUAAAGCGUGCGCAGGCGGUUCGGAAAGAAAGAUGUGAAAUCCCAGAGCUUAGCUUUGGAACUGCGACUGCUAACUACCGAGCUGGGGUAUCCAGAGGGAGGUGGAAUUCCGCGUGUGUUAAAUGCGUAGAUAUGCGGAGGACUUCGAUGGCGAAGGCAACCUCACUGAGGAUAACACUGACGCUCAUGCGAAAGCAUGAAGACAAACAAGUUGAUGCCCUGAUCACUACUAACGAUCAACUUCUUAGCUGUUUGAGGGCUGAACGCUGCAAUGGCGCAAGCUUAACAUGAGACCGGUGACUUAUGGGAGGCGGUCGCAAGAUUAAAACUCAAGGAAUUGACGGGGACCCGCACAAGCGGUGGAUGAUGUGGAUUAAUUCGAUGCAACGCGAAAAACCUUACCUACCCUUGACAUGUCUGGAAUCCCGAAGAGAUUUGGGAGUGCUCGCAAAGAGGAACUUCCGGAACACAGGUGCUGCAUGGCUGUCGUCAGCUCGUGUCGUGAGAUGUUGGAUUCGGCGAUCCCCUGUUCAAACUGCUUGUCAUUAGUUGCCUCGAGGAGCACUCAAUAAUUUACCGAGUGACAAACCGGAGGAAGGUGGGGAGAUGAAAAAUCAAUUAUCCUCAUGGCUGUCGAUGAGCCUACCGUCAUACAAUGAAUGGACGAAGGGUCGCCAACCCGCGAGGAGGAGCCAAUCCCGAAACUGAUCAUGAAUCAGGUCGCAGUCUGCAACUCUGACUGCGUGGAAGUCGAAUCGCUAGUAAUCGCGGAUCAGCAUGUCGCGGUGAAUACGUGGGUCUUGGCACCACACCCUUACGUCACGGCAGAAUUGGGUUUUUAAAGUAGUUAGCCUAACCGUAAGGAGGGCGAUUACCACGGUAGGAUUGUUGACUGGGGUGAAGUCGUAACAAAGGUAG